CAGCAGCCACGGUAAUACGUAGGUCCCGAGCGUUGUCCGGAUUUAUUGGGCGUAAAGCGAGCGCAGGCGGUUAGAUAAGUCUGAAGUUAAAGGCUGUGGCUUAACCAUAGUACGCUUUGGAAACUGUUUAACUUGAGUGCAAGAGGGGAGAGUGGAAUUCCAUGUAUAGCGGUGAAAUGCGUAGAUAUAUGGAGGAACACCGGUGGCGAAAGCGGCUCUCUGGCUUGUAACUGACGCUGAGGCUCGAAAGCGUGGGGAGCAAACAGGAUUAGAUACCCCUGUAGUCCCUGUCUCUUAUACA
rnacentral:rRNA from 1 species